CAUAGUAAUGCAGUCGACGGAAGUAGCAAUACUUUAGUGGCGAACGGUCGCGUAACACGUAAGAAACCUGCCUCAAAGUGGGGGACAACGAUCCGAAAGGGUCGCUAAUACCGCAUGUGAACAAGUGAUGGCAUCAUUAUUUGUUUAAAGCUUUAUGCGCUUUGAGAUGGUCUUGCGGCCUAUCAGGUAGAUGGUGGGGUAACGGCCUACCAUGCCGACGACGGGUAGCUGGUCUGAGAGGACGAUCAGCCGGAUUGGGACUGAGAUACGGCCCAGACUCCUACGGGGGGCAGCAAUUAGGAAUCUUGCGCAAUGGACGAAAGUCUGACGCAGCGACGCCGCGUGAGGGAUGACGGCCUUCGGGUUGUAAACCUCUUUUGCCGAGGAAGAAGAAUGUGACGGUACUCGGUGAAUAAGCCCCGGCUAACUACGUGCCAGCAGCCGCGGUAAUACGUAGGGGGCGAGCGUUGUCCGAAGUUACUGGGCGUAAAGCGCGCGUAGGCGGCUUUUUAAGUCUGGGGUGAAAGGUUCAACGCUCAACGUGAACAGUGCCUUGGAUACUGGGAAGCUUGAAUGUGGCAGAGGAUAGUGGAAUGGCUGGUGUAGCGGUGAAAUGCGUAGAUAUCAGUCGGAACACCCAUGGCGAAAGCAGCUAUCUGGGCUAACAUUGACGCUGAGGUGCGAAAGCGUGGGGAGCGAACGGGAUUAGAUACCCCGGUAGUCCACGCCGUAAACGAUGAGUGCUAGGUGUAGGCGGCAUCGACCCCCCCUGUGCCGUCGCUAACGCAUUAAGCACCUCCGCCUGGGGAGUACGGCCGCAGGUUGAAACUCAAAGAAUUGACGGGGGCCGCACAGCGUGAGCAUGUGAUAUC
rnacentral:rRNA from 1 species